rnacentral:rRNA from 1 species
UACGUAGGGUGCAAGCGUUUGUCCGGAAUUAUUGGGCGUAAAGAGCUCGUAGGCGGUCUGUCGCGUCUGCUGUGAAAACUCAGGGCUUAACCCUGAGCUUGCAGUGGGUACGGGCAGACUAGAGUGCGGUAGGGGAGACUGGAAUUCCCGGUGUAGCGGUGAAAUGUGUAGAGAUCGGGAGGAACACCGGUGGCGAAGGCGGGGUCUCUGGGCAAUUC